rnacentral:rRNA from 1 species
CGUCAGUCUUUGUCCAGGGGGCCGCCUUCGCCACCGGUAUUCCUCCAGAUCUCUACGCAUUUCACCGCUACACCUGGAAUUCUACCCCCCUCUACAAGACUCUAGCCUGCCAGUUUCGAAUGCAGUUCCCAGGUUGAGCCCGGGGAUUUCACAUCCGACUUGACAGACCGCCUGCGUGCGCUUUACGCCCAGUAAUUCCGAUUAACGCUUGCACCCUCCGUAUUACCGCGGCUGCUGGCACGGAGUUAGCCGGUGCUUCUUCUGCGGGUAACGUCAAUUGCUGAGGUUAUUAACCUCAACACCUUCCUCCCCGCUGAAAGUACUUUACAACCCGAAGGCCUUCUUCAUACACGCGGCAUGGCUGCAUCAGGCUUGCGCCCAUUGUGCAAUAUUCCCCACUGCUGCCUCCCGUAGGAGUCUGGACCGUGUCUCAGUUCCAGUGUGGCUGGUCAUCCUCUCAGACCAGCUAGGGAUCGUCGCCUAGGUGAGCCGUUACCCCACCUACUAGCUAAUCCCAUCUGGGCACAUCUGAUGGCAAGAGGCCCGAAGGUCCCCCUCUUUGGUCUUGCGACGUUAUGCGGUAUUAGCUACCGUUUCCAGUAGUUAUCCCCCUCCAUCAGGCAGUUUCCCAGACAUUACUCACCCGUCCGCCGCUCGUCACCCA